rnacentral:lncRNA from 1 species
GAGAACAAAGAAUGACCAGACAUUUACCGAUGACUGGGGUGAGACUCGAUGUUUACCGACAUCGAAAGAUGAUGUUUACCGACAUCAAAAGAAAUGACCAGACAUUUACCGAUGACUGGGGAUGAGACUCGAUGUUUACCGACAUCGAAAAAUGAUGUUUACAGACAUUUACCGAUGACUGGGGUGAGAAAUUUAUUGGGGAGGACAAACAAAUAUUUGCAAUUGGAAACCAG